AGGUGCGAUCAUACCAGCACUAAUGCACCGGAUCCCAUCAGAACUCCGCAGUUAAGCGUGCUUGGGCGACAGUAGUACUAGGAUGGGUGACCUCCUGGGAAGUCCUCGUGUUGCACCUC
rnacentral:rRNA from 2 species